rnacentral:rRNA from 1 species
AACGAACGCUGGCGGCGCGCCUAACACAUGCAAGUCGAACGAGAAUCCGGGGCAACCCGGUAGUAAAGUGGCAAACGGGUGAGGAAUACAUGGGUAACCUACCCUUGAGAAGGGAAUAACCCGCCGAAAGGUGAGCUAAUACCCUAUACGCUAUCUUUUUUUCGAAAAGGAUAGGAAAGCCGGGUCGAGGACCUGGUACUCAAGGAGGGGCUCAUGUCCUAUCAGCUUGUUGGUGGGGUAACGGCCUACCAAGGCUACGACGGGUAGCUGGUCUGAGAGGAUGAUCAGCCACACUGGCACUGAGAUACGGGCCAGACUCCUACGGGAGGCAGCAGUGAGGAAUAUUGCGCAAUGGGCGAAAGCCUGACGCAGCGACGCCGCGUGGGGGAUGAAGGUUUUCGGAUUGUAAACCCUUUCAUGAGGUAAAGAUAAAGUAGGGUAACCACUUAGACGGUACCUCAAGAAGAAGCCACGGCUAACUUCGUG